GUGGGUGUAGCCCAGUUGGCUAGAGCGCCGGGUUGUGGUCCCGGAGGUCCAGGGUUCGAGUCCCUGUACCCACCCCA
rnacentral:tRNA from 5 species